GACGGACGCUGGCGGCGUGCUUAACACAUGCAAGUCGAACGGUAAGGCCUUCGGGUACACGAGUGGCGAACGGGUGAGUAACACAUGGGUGAUCUGCCCCCUACUCUGGGAUAAGCCUGGGAAACUGGGUCUAAUACCGGAUAUGACCUCCUUCUGCAUGGUUGGUGGUGGAAAGUUUUUUCGGUAGGGGAUGAGCCCGCGGCCUAUCAGCUUGUUGGUGGGGUAAUGGCCUACCAAGGCGACGACGGGUAGCCGGCCUGAGAGGGCGACCGGCCACACUGGGACUGAGACACGGCCCAGACUCCUACGGGAGGCAGCAGUGGGGAAUAUUGCACAAUGGGCGAAAGCCUGAUGCAGCGACGCCGCGUGGGGGAUGACGGCCUUCGGGUUGUAAACCCCUUUCAGUCGGGACGAAGCGAGAGUGACGGUACCGAUAGAAGAAGCACCGGCCAACUACGUGCCAGCAGCCGCUGUAACAC
rnacentral:rRNA from 1 species